CGCGUAGGCUGCUUUGCAAGUCGAAGGUGAAAUCCCUCAGCUCAACUGAGGAACUGCCUGCGAUACUGCAAGGCUUGAGUCCCGGAGAGGGUAGCGGAAUUCCCAGUGUAGCGGUGAAAUGCGUAGAUAUCGGGAGGAACAUCAGUGGCGAAGGCGGCUUUCUGGCCCAAUACUGACACUCAUGUGCGAAAGCGUGGGGAGCAAACA
rnacentral:rRNA from 1 species